UGGGGAAUAUUGGACAAUGGGCGAAAGCCUGAUCCAGCCAUGCCGCGUGUGUGAAGAAGGUCUUCGGAUUGUAAAGCACUUUAAGUUGGGAGGAAGGGCAGUAAGCGAAUACCUUGCUGUUUUGACGUUACCGUCAGAAUAAGCACCGGCUAACUCUGUGCCAGCAGCCGCGGUAAUACAGAGGGUGCAAGCGUUAAUCGGAAUUACUGGGCGUAAAGCGCGCGUAGGUGGUUCGUUAAGUUGAAUGUGAAAGCCCCGGGCUAAACCUGGGAACUGCAUCCAAAACUGGCGAGCUAGAGUAGGGCAGAGGGUGGUGGAAUUUCCUGUGUAGCGGUGAAAUGCGUAGAUAUAGGAAGGAAAACCAGUGGCGAAGGCGACCACCUGGGCUCAUACUGACACUGAGGUGCGAAAGCGUGGGGAGCAAACAGG
rnacentral:rRNA from 1 species